UGAGCACGUGGGCUGGCCCGGAGGGGUUGAGUCUUGCCUACAGCGGGCAGUGACCUUACCUGCAAUGAAUACGGAGGCCUCGCUCUCUGCGCCCUUGGCCCGGAAGGUGUACUUGCCCUCGUGCUCCGGGCCCAUACUGGGGAAGAUGAGCUUGUGCACUGCACCCUGCUUCACGAUCUGCACGCCGGGCAAGUCCGUGAUCUGGGGGGGCGAGGGGCAAGGGGCGGCCAUGAGUGCGAAUGUAUGGCCAGUCCACCCCUUCCUCCUUGGCCCCCUUCUCUAGCCCUUGCCUCGGACCUCCUUGCCAUCCUUGAGCCACACGCCCUCCACCUUCUCGUCGUUCAGCACCACGUACAGUUCAGCUGGGCUCCCGGUGGCCGCAUGCACGUCGGACAUCCCGCUCUUCACCGUGGCCAGACGCUCUGGGGGAGAAAGGGAGCAGGUGCUGGACUGAGCCUGAGGAAACCGGUGAAUUAGGCUGAGGAAACCGGUGAAUGUUGGUAUCUGCAACAUGGCACUCACAGCCCAGUGGGGUCUCGGAAUGAAUGAAUUUGUGGUCUGGAACCAGAAGUUGCAGAAGCUGGUUAGAUCUAAGGAUGAUCAGCUCUUGGCCAGAGUCUUCUAGAAGUGUCCCCUGAAGAGCCCAGGAACCCUGACCUUCACCCCAUCGCUAGGAUCAGUUCCUCCCUUGGUGCCUGGCCGCCCCGAUUUAACCUGGCUCCACCCACUACGGCUACGCCCCCUUCUAGCCACGCCCAUAGCCUUGGCCUCCCUUCCCUCUUGGCUCUCUCACCUUCUGGAAGAGAUGGGUCUCCUGCCCCUCCUUGGCUUUGCCCUAGCUCUGCUUUGCCUCACCCCUAAUUUUGGUCUCCUGCCCACUCUAGCAACACCCCAGCUCCUGAUUCGGCCUCUCUUAUCCUGCCCCUCCUCUAGGGCAACGACAGCUUCUUUCCCCAUGGCCCUUCUUGGUUCGUUCAGUUGUGGCUCUCUUGUCCGUGAUGGGGCCGGCGGCAUGCCCUGGGGUCCCUGCCUCUGGCCUCGUCCGUAACUGGCUCUCUGGCUCGGGUCCCCGCACCUUCAGCACGUGCUCCUUGUUGAUGCUGUCGUAGAACAUCUUGGCCGACUCCUUGAUGGGGAUGCCGCUCUCCCUCUUCCAGGAGAUGUUGGGUUUGGGGUUCCCCUGCACCCGGGCUCGGAACACAGCUUUAUCCCCUGCAGUGGGCACGGGACACAAGUACACCUCUUAGCCUCCAGGUCGGACCUUCGGACCCUGCCUCCUCCCAGGGGUCUCAUGUCCACCCCGGCAGGGGAGCGCCCCUGGGCCUGGGGCCGCCAGUGUUUGCAUUACUGGGGGACAGUGGGGUCGUGGUGCUGAUUGGGGCACCGGGAGAAGAACAGAAAGCAGCCAGGGGCUUGGGGACACACGGGGAGCGACACACCCUCGGGCGCGGUGACCGGGUGAGGCUUCUCCACGAACUCAGGGACGCUCUCGCCUGCAGGGAUGUCAGUACUCCGAGUCACCAAGCUGAAGAACUCUACAGUGCUCGAGGACUUCCUUGUCACGACUUCCUCUGUGGCGACAGGCGAGAGGUCAGAAUGGGCCCGAGACUGGAGGAUUGACCUUUUCUUGAGGGGACGGUGGAGCAUUUUAGGGCCGCGCGGGGACUUUGGCCAGAAAAGGAGGACCUUUAGUCAGUCGGUCGUUGUGUUAUGGCACGUUUCAGCCACCAGGGGGAGCGAACUCCUCUUCCAGGCCUCUGGUCAAUCACGUUUAUCGGGCCACGUUACCGGGUCCCAAUUCUUUUCUUUUUCUUUUUUUCCAACCUUUUUCUUUUUUAAAAAGGAGAUUUAUUUUGAUGGGGGUUUCUUGGCCUCUUGGGCUUCUCUCCUGGAAAUCCUAGUCCCCCAGCAGCCUUAAGAGGGGCCCGGUGGCUUAGUUGAAUUCUGCUGUCUGCCUUCCCUUAGCCCUUCUGUGGUUUAGCAUUCAUUGCUAUGGGAGGAGCAGUGAUUCUUGAGCGAGGGACAGGAAACAUUCCCAGCCUAGAGGGGCUAUGGGUGGGAAUCUCCUUAUCUGAGAGAGCAUAUUCAAUGCAGUCAUGUAAUUUUAUGUUUGGAAAAUGAAAAGUUUUUUCAGUAUAAACUACAGACCGUCUUGUUGGCUAGUGAGCUGACAGUUAAAAACAAUGUCUCUGAUUCACAGAGAGCGUUCCUUUUGUCAGGAACCGUGCUAAACACAGUUCAGAGGUUAUGUUAUUUAAUCCUCACAAUACUCCAGCGAAGUAGGUGCUUUUAUUAUCCCCACUAGCCUGAAAGACUGAGAUGAGAAAAACGUGUUCCGACGCACUUUUAAGUAGCCAUCAGAAGUGUCAAACAAGCAGUGUGCAGGCUGCCCAUAACCUGCAGAUGUUUAAUGUCUACAAUGGUCAAACAAAAAGUAGCCCUACAUCUAAAAAAUGAGAGAUUUCACAUAAAAAUUCACAUUUCUGGAUUCUCAACAUGGGGCUCAUAUCCCCCAUAUGGCAACGAUCGGGGGCAGUGAAUAGCGGCUGCCCCUUGAGGUGGGGGAUGUCCUCUGCAGUUCACUUUGGUCUUUUUGUCUGCAUUUAUAUUCCGUGCCUGGACCCUGCUGGCCAGUGGUUUUAAACUCUGGCUACAUGCUAGAAUCUCUGGAGAGCUUGAAACACACACACACACACACACACACACACACACACAUACCCACACCCUGAUUUAGCAGCUGGGUGAGACUUAUGUAUCACUAUUUUUUUUUUCAUUCCCCUUCCUUGCUCCCCGCUACACUAAGCCAAUCGAAUAUGCAGCCGGGGUUGAGAAUCACUGCUAUCAUCACGUAAGUUUGCAACUUCUGGUCUUGAGCCCCAGCUGUUCCACUUGCCUGGCCUCACUGACCAGGAGGGGUUGGGAUAGAGUGUUCAUCUGGCCCUGACCUCUGUGCACGAGGACUUUGAGGGACUCUGUCCCUCCAGGACUUUGAGGGAGGGGGCAGUGACUGGGAGGGGAUAUUGGAUACUUUGGCCUCUGGCCAUCUUUUAAUCUCUUUUCACUAGAGACAUGACUGAAACAAUCUGUUCUGCUCUGAGACCAUUUCUCAGCUUUCCCUUGGAUCUGUUUUCCCCCAAGUCCGGUCCCCAAGGGUUGAGAGCCUGGAAGCUUAGGUCACUUGUUUAUGUCUUCAUCCUCUCCACUGGCAGCUCCAGAUCUCCUAUUUCUGAAGUGGAGCAGGGUCAGCAUUACUCACAUCUAGAUAAGGUAGCUACUUCCCUAGCUUCCUCCAUGUCUGAAAUUCUGCCAUCAGAGAUACAUCCAUUUGCUUCGGGCUCUGAUCUCCUCAAGCAAUUAAGUUCAUCAAUCACUCACACACAUGCAUGUGACUGACUUUCCUAAGCUGUUUUCCUGGAGAUCGGAUCUAUGGGUAAGCAUCCCACUGGCUGAAGCUUUAUCAAAGUACAGAUUAGAAGCACAGGUUAGGAGAGGGUUGUCCUUUGUAUAUUGGGCUCCUGAGGGGCCCAGAACUCAUAACGGCUGAGCGCCCACCCCCGCCCCUCGCCCCGUCGCCGCCCAGAGGCUGGAUGUGGAGAAAGAAAGGCUGCCCUUUCCCGAUUUCCCCUCCCAUCCACUCUACUUGCCUCCCACGAUCCUGGUUGUCUGGGAGAAGGUCUGCACGUGGGUGGUGGAGCUGGAGAACUCCAUGGACACGUGCUCCUGCAGCAUCUGCUCGUGGUGAAUGGUCGUCAUGGUGACAGCAGGCGUGGGCACUCACCUGGGAGGACCAGGGAGAGGAUGAGGCCAUGAAGGAAGGGCCUAGGAGGGAGAUCCAGAGUUGCUCUUCUGUGUGUGUGUGUG